rnacentral:rRNA from 1 species
AAAGUGGAGCAAUCCAUGAGUAAAGUGGCGCUACGGGUGAGUAACACGUGGAUCAUCUACCUCCUUAGUGGGGAAUAACCCUGGGAAACCGGGGCUAAUACCGCAUAAGUCCGUGAGGAGAAAGCAGCAAUGCGCUGAGAGAAGAGUCCGCGGCCGAUUAGCUAGUUGGUGAGGUAAUGGCUCACCAAGGCGUCGAUCGGUAGCCGGCCUGAGAGGGCACACGGCCACACUGGCACUGAAACACGGGCCAGACUCCUACGGGAGGCAGCAGUGGGGAAUCUUGCACAAUGGGGGAAACCCUGAUGCAGCGACGCCGCGUGAGCGAUGAAGCCCUUCGGGGUGUAAAGCUCUUUCGACGGGAACGAUAAUGACGGUACCCGGAGAAGAAGCUGCGGCUAACUACGUGCCAGCAGCCGCGGUAAUACGUAGGCAGCAAGCGUUGUUCGGAAUUACUGGGCGUAAAGAGUGUGUAGGCGGUUCGCCAAGUUUGGUGUGAAAUCUCCCGGCUUAACUGGGAGGGUGCGCCGAAAACUGGCGGGCUUGAGGGUGGGAGAGGUAAGCGGAAUUUCUGGUGUAGCGGUGAAAUGCGUAGAUAUCAGAAGGAACACCUGUGGUGUAGACAGCUUACUGGACCACUUCUGACGCUGAGACACGAAAGCGUGGGUAGCAAACAGGAUUAGAUACCCUGGUAGUCCACGCCCUAAACGAUGCAUACUUGGUGUGAGCCAUUCAUUUGGUUCGUGCCGGAGCUAACGCGUUAAGUAUGCCGCCUGGGGAGUACGGUCGCAAGGCUGAAACUC